rnacentral:rRNA from 1 species
AUGAAGGCCGAGCCUCGGAAAUCUAUUUUGAGUGGAUUUGGAUGGCUUCAAGAGACUAUUGCCACCCUAGGGGAGACCUACACAAUGUUGAGAAUGACGACAAGUGUGUUCUUUGAUCUUCAUGACUUGUUGGUACGUAAUUAUGGUCUAAAAGAAACAAGCUUUGUUAGCACUUAUGAGUCUCUUGCUAUGUUCUUGUGGACAUUGGGAGGUUGUGAAUCAAAUAGAAGAACUCAAAGUCGCUUCAAACAUUCAGCGGAUAUAAUCCAUCGUAAAUUCCGUGAGGUUUUACACUAUGUAGUGAACAUGGCAUCUCACUACCUUAAGCCACAAGACCCAAACUUCCACAUUGUGCAUGAUCUAAUUAAAGAGGAUAGGAGAGCUUAUCCUUAUCUCAAAGAUUGCAUUGGUGCAAUCAAUGGGACUCAUAUAAUAGCUUAUAUUCCCGAUGGGCCACCGAAAGUUAGGUACAUUGGGAGGACAGGCAUGACAACUCAGAAUGUGAUGGCGAUAUGUGACUUCAAUAUGCACUUUACUUAUGCUUCAAUUGGGCAACCUGGUUCUAUGCAUGAUACAAAUGUGUUAUACCAUGCAAUUGAUAAAGACAGGCCCUCCUUCGCCCAUCCUCCAAAGGGCAAGUAUUACCUUGUGGAUGCCAGGUAUCGUAAUAGAGAUGGAUAUCUAGCACCAUACAAAGGAGAAAGGUAUCACGUCCCUGACUUUCAAAGAGGUGCACCUCCAAAUACUCCUAAGGAGAAGUUCAACAAGAUUCACUCCUCCAAACGCAAUUGCAUAGAGAGAACCUUUGGAGUGUGGAAAAUGAAAUGGCAAAUUCUCCUGAAGAUGCCAAACUACUCGUUUCAAACACAGAUGAAGAUUGUUGCAGCUACUAUGACAUUGCACAACUAUGUUCGCCUCCAUGACAAAGAUGAUCUCCACUUUAUUCGAUGCGAAAGAGAUCCGGAUUAUGCUCCAACAAUUCCGGAUAGAUACAAGAAGUAUGUUAUUCCUGCCAGAGCAUCGGAUGCUUCCACUUCAUAGGCAAGUGCUCACAUAGAUAGGUUCAGGAAUGAACUAGCUACCGCCAUUGCUCUUGGUUGGUGA